CCCUUAGAUGUUCUGGGCCGCACGCGCGCUACACUGAUGCAUUCAACGAGUUUCUUCCUGGUCCGAGAGGAAUGGGUAACCUUUUGAAAGUGCAUCGUGAUAGGGAUAGACUAUUGCAAUUAUUGGUCUUCAACGAGGAAUUCCUAGUAGACGUAGUUCAUCAGACUGCAUCGAUUACGUCCCUGCCCUUUGUACACACCGCCCGUCGCUCCUACCGAUUGAAUGCUCAGGUGAGCCAUUCGGACUUUCAUCAUGCUGGUUUGCAGUUUUGAUGAAGGAAAGUCUUGCGAACCUUAUCAUUUAGAGGAAGGAGAAGUCGUAACA
rnacentral:rRNA from 1 species